AUUAAGGUGGCAGAGCCUGGAAUUGCAAAAGACCUAAGCCCUUUAUACAGAGGUUCAAAUCCUCUCCUUAAUA
rnacentral:tRNA from 2 species